rnacentral:rRNA from 1 species
GACGAACGCUGGCGGCGUGCUUAACACAUGCAAGUCGAACGGAAAGGCCCUGCUUUUGUGGGGUGCUCGAGUGGCGAACGGGUGAGUAACACGUGAGUAACCUGCCCUUGACUUUGGGAUAACUUCAGGAAACUGGGGCUAAUACCGGAUAGGAGCUCCUGCUGCAUGGUGGGGGUUGGAAAGUUUCGGCGGUUGGGGAUGGACUCGCGGCUUAUCAGCUUGUUGGUGGGGUAGUGGCUUACCAAGGCUUUGACGGGUAGCCGGCCUGAGAGGGUGACCGGCCACAGUGGGAUUGGGAAAAGGCCAAGACUCCUAGGGGGGGAAGGGGGGGGAAAUAUUGCAAAAUGGGGGGAAGCCGGAGGGAGAAACCCCGGGUGGGGGAAGACGGCCUUCGGGGUGAAAACCGGUUUGGCGUGUGAAGAAGGGGGGGGAAGGGAAAUGGGUAAAAAAACACCGGUAAACUAGGU